GGGGAAUAUUGCGCAAUGGGGGGAACCCUGACGCAGCGACGCCGCGUGAAGGAAGAAGGUCUUCGGAUUGUAAACUUCUUUGGUCGGGGACGAAACCUGACGGUACCCGAUAAAAAAGCCACGGCUAACUACGUGCCAGCAGCCGCGGUAAUACGUAGGUGGCAAGCGUUGUCCGGAAUUACUGGGUGUAAAGGGCGUGUAGGCGGGGAUGCAAGUCAGAUGUGAAACCCCACGGCUCAACCGUGGGCUUGCAUCUGAAACUGUGUUUCUUGAGUGUUGGAGAGGGAAGUGGAAUUCCUAGUGUAGCGGUGAAAUGCGUAGAGAUUAGGAGGAACACCAGUGGCGAAGGCGACUUCCUGGCCAACAACUGACGCUGAGGCGCGAAAGCGUGGGGAGCAAAC
rnacentral:rRNA from 1 species